rnacentral:misc_RNA from 1 species
UGUGGGAGGGGGCUUGCUCCCGAUGGCGAUGGGUCAGGUUGAAUGUUUGUACCUGAUCCACCGCCAUCGGGAGCAAGCCCCCUCCCACA